UGUCUCUCCUAGUUUAAUAUUGUUUUUUGGUCUACCAUGCUGAAAAAUCGGAGCGCCGGACUGUGUCUUUUGUCUUUUUGCCACCUGCUUUGCCUUCGUCUUUUUGUAAUGCAAAGAGCAUUUCAUUAUUUCCGACAGCAUGGGGUGGGGGGAUGAGAGACACAGAGCCUAACCACCAGCGAGACGGCUCUCUGCUUCCUUGAAAUGUGUUGGCUGUGGUUUCAGGUUAUCAGAAGGGUUUUAUAUGGUCGCCUUUUACUUCUGCCUCGUUUGAUGGUCGGCUUCAUAAUGUGAUAACUUUCUUGGACUGAUGAAGAUUUAUUCUCUUUCCAAAUAUUGUUACUGUAUUCUACAUGGCAGUUCGUGUGGUGAUGUGGGUACACUUUAUAUUUCAUUUAGUCAAAGUUUUUGAUAUUAAACGGGUGGGUGGUCUAUAUGAAUUGCUCAACAAUGUUUUGAAGUAAUUGCACUGUGUACAGUAUUAGUUUUUUCAAGUUGAUCAGUCUGUAUGAGCUACCUCUUGCCUCACCUUGUUGAAAAGAGGAUUACCUCAUUCAGGUUGGUGAAAUCUAUAUUAGCUGGCUACCCAGCGACUUGCAACAACAACGCCUCCCUUCGCUGGUCUCGGUGUUCUGGUAAUUAUGACCAUCUGCUCGAAUAGAUCCACGACUAGGCCUUGUGAAAUGAGUUUGCCUUGACACACGAAAGACACAUUAUCCCCGGAAAAAUGAAGAAGUUACAAUUUAGAACACAAGGUUUGUCAUAGUUCAAUAUCGUGCACAUAGUCUGGUUAAAGUUGAACGUCUUUGCGUUUCAAUGGGUCUCUUCAUUGUUGACAUUCUUUGACGUCUUUUUGUUAGAGAUGUCUGAUUCAAACGCAUGCAUUGACAUUGUAAUGUUCAAAUUAUAUUAAAAGGAUUCAGUCAUUAUUUUGCUACCAUCUUGACCUCAGUCAACCAUCAUUCCAGCUAGUCAUCUAUCUUCACUCAGCCUAGUAAACCUGAAUACAGUGACGCCGUUGUUGACAUUACACUAUAUGAUGUAGCACACACCUGCUCCUUUAGAUAAUGGCUGGUUGUCCCGAGAUGAUGUGGUGUUUUCAUCCUCCCCAAGAUACCUAGUCGUUAAAGAGUAACCCAUCACUCAAAUUAUAGCACAAGAGCAUAGAGAAGCACAGGUUAUACCAUUUCUGUUUCUGAUUGGUUGAAAUUACUGCCCAGUUGUCAUUGUUUGUUUGACGGAUGGGAUUCAGAAAGAGCAGUCGCAGCAGUCUGUAAAUCAGGCCAUCAGCCCUUACUGUUCCUACGUAUUUAGGGGCGUGAUGAAGUCUUUCUGCCCAGCAGCACUUAUGAUGAGGUUAUAAUAUGAUUACACUGCGUGUCUACUUGAGGCUGAAUGAGUUCCUGUAAUAGCGAAAGGUCGGAUUCAGAUAUGACUUUGCCACACAGGAGCUGUCCCACCAGUUUGACUUGCCCCGUUGACCUGUUAAUCCUGUUUCUAUCAUUUCUUGGGAUGAACAGAAUAUUAGUCACAAUAUUGUUAACAACACCCAUAUUCAAAACCCGUCCAAGGCACAGUUUAAGAGCUUAUAUAUCACAGAAAAACACUUUCAGCAUUGCUUGCACUGCCGUGGAUUAUUAUUUUGAGGAAUGAAAGAAAGAGGGCUGUUGUUAAAAUGGUAACAGGCUCGCUAAAGAAUAUGUGUUUGUGUUAGGAACCCCCCUUACUUCCUCCCCUUCCCUCUGGAACGGCUUGGCCCCUGGCAGGCCAGAGGUUUACACAUAGAAACAGAAUUCGGCUUCUUGUCUACACAGAGUGAUCGGCCAGCAGCAGUCUCACCUUGUUCCUCCCAGGAACAAAGGUGGUGUGUGUGUGUUCUUCUGUGAACCCUCUUUUUAUUGGAAACCACUGAGUAGACCUUCACGCAAGAUUUGAAUGAUAUAAAAAUGAAUGACAGAUUGGUGAGUUAAGAAAACGUAUAAUAAUCCAGAUUCAUUUAGAGUCAAUGGUCAUUGUCCUACUGUCUCCGGUACCCACAAAAGGAAAAUGUCAAGUGUGUGUGUGUGUGUGUGUGUGUGUGUGUGUGUGUGUGUGUGUGUGUGUGUGUGUGUGUGUGUGUGUGUGUGUGUGUGUGUGUGUGUGUGUGUGUGUGUGUGUGUGUGUGUGUGUGUGUGUGUGUGUGUGUGUACCCCAGAAGCUGUGCCAUGGGGAGCCAUGGGAGUAAACAUGUCUUGCCCAGUCCAGAUUUAUUUCUUCCUGCCCCCAACCAGAUCCUCUCACUUUCACUCCUUAACUUCUGUUGUUGCUAAGUAGCCCAACACUUCAUCCAUCGCUAUCACAGUUACCUCAAAUAGUUUUUCCUUUUGUAGCGUGGUCUGUGCAUGUGUGUGGGUCAAAACUUGUUCUAAAUGUUUAAAAAACGAUACACUUUAAUGAGCUUGCACUAGUAGUUAAUUCAUUUUGUUCCCUGUCUGUGAAAUCCCACAACGCUAUAAUGCACAAGGGAGUAAAGGGUCUGUAUGAAAGCAAAUGCGUAACGUAUAAGGCCUCUGAAGGCCUAAAUAUAAAGUCCAUUCAUCUUCUAGACAGAAGGAGAUUGUUUCGUUUUUAACAUGUCAGAUGAGAAUGAUUACGUAAAGAAUUGAAUUUUUUUCAAGUAGAAGUAGUGUUCUCAUCAGGGAAGUAAAUGGUUAUGGUUGGACGAAGCAGGGAUUAGAAACGGUGUGGAAACUACUAUUUUUGUUGGGCUGUGUAGCAUAGAAUUCUAGUGCCCAUGAUUGUAGGUUUGAAUCCAAAAAAGGAGACAUUUUUCUUUAACGGGGCACUGUGAAAGAUCUGGCCUAUUAUGUGAAAAACAUUAUUUCUGUUCUAUGCCUGAAAAAUGUCUGAUAAUUUCGCUAUUAACAUUAUGUUGAGGGUAUUAACCAUGUGUUUAAUGUAAGUAUCUGAAUGCUGGUAAAUAAAGAAAGCUUUUUAUAUCUUGGCAGUGCUGGAUCCUAAUUCAAUAACGGGAAACCUCUGCCUUUGACAGAGUCAAAUCAAUGUGCUACAAAUUCAACAUGGACAACAGCGGUCAAACACAGCCAUCGACCAGAUGUUUCCAUGACACCAUAGAAAUAUAAGCUCAAAGCACUGUGGAAGAAUAAUGGAAUUACAGCUCAUUAAAUACGAUAAUAAACAAUAACGUUAUAGAUGAAAGUAACCAAUAUCUAACCAUUGUUGGGAACUGUGCUUUAUUCCUAGUAUAUAAGCCACUUUUCUCUGUUUAUUCCUAAGAGAUAUCGAAGGUAUUAAAAAUGAUAAUCCUAUGCUUGCAGGAACGAUAAUUAAAAGUAAGAACUUGUUGUACUUAAUAAAGCACAAAUAAACAAAAACUGAUUUUUUUUUUUUAUCAUUCAAAAAACUGUUGUUGAAAGUCUCAUGCACGGUCUUAUGCAUGGUCAAUAUUGGGUAAGUGGUUGGCAUGUACCUUCACUCGUCGCAUGAUAGAAUGUGUGUGGAGACUCUCCCUUCCAUUCCAGGCCUAAGCUCCCUUAACAGCUGAGAGAUAUGGCCUGAAGGCAAAGGCAACUGGGCGGGUUAUGGGAAUGACUCUGUGUCUGUUGGGGGGGGGGGGGGGGGGGGGGCACAUUGCUGCCAUGUUCCGGUAAUGGGGUUGCAACACCCGUCCUCGGAUGCUCUGCUCUAGUGUGUGUGUGUGUGUGUGUGUGUGUGUGUGUGUGUGUGUGUGUGUGUGUGUGUGUGUGUGUGUGUGUGUGUGUGUGUGUGUGUGUGUGUGUGUGUGUGUGUGUGUGUGUGUGUGUGUGUGUGUGUGUGUGUGUGUGUGUGUUCUUUCUCAGCCUGCCCCCUGCUCUUGCUAAGUCAUGACUCGUACAUUGAGUUUUGUUCUGUGUCUUGGAGUCAUGCCCGGCACAAUGGGAUCCAGUGAAUUGUUUUGUUGCCGAUACCGUCUCUCAGAGGGAUUGAUACAACAGAAUUCACAUGUUUUCAUUAUUUUUAAAUUAUAGAAACUAGUUUCAAAGGAGACCCUAUAGUUAUAUCCACUGUAGUCCCCUCUCCUUAAAGUGACACACCAUCAUGACAUUGCAUCUUCUCCGAGUUUAUUAUUUUAUGUUUGAAUCUAUGAAAUAUUUGAAAACUCUCCUCUCCUCCUUCCAUCCAUCCCUCCCUCCUGGUUUUAUUGGUGCCAGAGUAUACAAAGAAAGUCUGCUUCGCUCUGAAUACUUUCUUCUUUUCUACAGUCUUACCUGGUUCCAUGUGGGCAUCCCCACAUCUUCUGGGCAGGGGGGGAAAAAGUCAUUUUCUACUUGCUUAUAAAAACUUCAAUGGUUUAAUUUCCCCUUUCCUGCACAUAAAAUUGCAAGCUGCAGGCUUGAAACAUCAUGGCCCCUACAGUCAGACACAGUCAGACGCAGUCACAAAGAACCGACUUAAAAGUUGGUUGUUAAACGUAUCAAGGAAAUUUAGCUCUGGGUUGCUGUGACAACAGCAAGGCCUUUCAGUUGCUGUUUGCUGUUAUAGGCGCUAAGGGUCUCUGAGAUUACAGUGGUACAUUAAUCUGAACUUUAAAUAUGGGAUUCAUUCAAAUUAAAAAUAAUGAUAAUUCAGACAUGUGGAUGCGAUCAAUACUCCUGAAUCAGUCAAUAACUUCACAAAAUUGGAACCAAUUCCAGUAAUUGGCUAUCCAAGCCCAGGUAAUGAUGUCAACAUUAUCAACAUUGUAGCAUUAACCUUAGUAUCUCCAUUCUUGACUUAUCUUAAAAGCCUUUACACUCUUAAAGCAGCGAACUUGUGUGUUGGGCCCCCUCUCGGAGUAGAGCAUUGGUCUAAGUUGAAUGAGAUGUCUGUACCUGAUUUCUCAAAGGUCCCUUGGAAACAGCCCCACUAUGGUUAGAAUGAGCUCCCAAUUAUUGUGAGUCAAGUGCGGUGAGGUGUUUUUGAAUCAAAUCUCACACGCUCAAAUGAUAAUCCCCUGACUUCCUGCCACUAUUACCCUGCAGUCUGGUGGUCAGCGAGUAAAUAAAUGUCCCCAUUGUGUUGCAUUUACUGCUGAUAAACAGCUAGCCGAUAUACCUACCUACAUGAAAGACCUGGGGUUAAUAUAGUUCCUGUUCAACCCGCCCAAGUUUUGGGCUGUGUGCGUGCGUGCAUGUGCGUGCGUGCAUGUGCGUGCGUGAAUUAUUGUGCAGUGUUAUGUGCAAGCAUUGAUUUUGAACCUGCCUGUGAUAUGUGUGUGCAUUAUGGUAGUGCAGACAUAUGGUUUCACUCUGUCGUGUGUGUGUGUGUGUGUGUGUGUGUGUGUGUGUGUGUGUGUGUGUGUGUGUGUGUGUGGCGGAAGGCCUGCUCAACGUGUGUUCAUAGGUGGCCUCCCUCUUAUGCAGUGCCGUUUCUUCCGGCAUGCUGCGGAUGUGGGCUAUAUACCCACGCUCGACUUCUGCUUUUAUAGGCCACCUUCCGGUAACUUCAGUGCCUCAUUCUGUCUCAGCAGCAGCCUCACAUUUUGGUUUGCUGCAGCAAGUUUGGUUCGCUUGGUAACACUGGGCUCUGCAUCAAAGGAUCAGAUGUUAUGACUUGUCACACUCCAUUUACGUUAUCUAACGCUGUAUCAGGACUUACAAGUUGAGUUAUCAUUCUUAUCAUCGUCAUCUGUGUCGAACCACACUGAAACAUGAAUGGGAUGUUAAAUUUCAACUCACACCUCAUAAAAGUUUUUUUAAAUGGAAUGUGUGUACGUUUUUCCUAUGUAGAUUUAUUGUGGAUCUCCCCUUCUAGUGAAUCUCCCCUCUGUUUCAUCCCAACCCACUGCUAAUGCAACACAUCUAUGAAUAAGACCGCAUUAGGAGAGCAUCCAUCUCCUAAUGUUUUUCUUCCUCCUUUCAUCCGUCUUUCAAAAAGUGCCGGUCUGUUCUCUGUCAGCAAGCCUGCAGAUGCUAGCUGCUGCUGGGGGUGGUGGUGCUGGGAGAGGGGGCGUGGGUGGUGCAUCUGGACUCCCAGAGGAAGUCAUAUGAGAAGGAGAAGGCACGGAGUGGCAGGAAGGAAGAGGAAGAGGUUUACCAGCCGGGCUUGAGAGCAUCUCAUUCUGCUAAAAGAAACAACAAACAACAGUCGUGUCCAUUGAGUUUGUUUCCUAGAGUGCAACUGAGUACACGUUCACAUCGUUUUCCGAUACCUUAUCGACUCUCGAUGUUGGCCCGAUCUAUUUAAUGUGGUUGGGAACUUCCCAACUUCAACCCACUUUACACACAGUUGUACCACAACAUUGAAAAAGUGUUCAGUCAGAUGGCAAGGUUGUUGAUCUUUCAUUUGAUCCUAAUGUGUGCAUUAGGAUAAUGUGGAAUGGAUUUGAUCUUAAUGUCUUUCAUAAAAUUCCUGUAACUCAUCAUGGUUACAAGGCAUAUAGAAACGAAUACAUCAACAGCAUCACAAUCGUGCAUAUAAUGACAUGUUUAAACAGGACCCCGUUACUAGAAUGCCAUAUUAGUCAUUCUCGCCAAGUUACUUCCCUUUGUUAGGGAUAGGUCACCAAUCUUUUUGGCUGUUUUAGACAAUGAGGUCAGCAGACGUUUACGUUGCCAUACUCUAUUUGUGGGGGGGGGGGGGGGGGGGGGGGGGGGACGAUGAUGAUCACUGCCGUCACUGAUGAAGGAUUGCAGCUGCACUUUGCAAUGCGCCAGGGGUAAUUGGCAAAGCCAGACUCUGUUUCAGCACGAUCUGGCCCCAACCAAGCCCUAUCUGACUCAGAGUGGAGAACAUCGUGUCCCUGGCGACCUGAAAGCAAACAACCACCUCUAACCCGUGUCUGAGGUCUUCUCGGUCAAAGCUGUGAAUAAUUUGGUAAGUGUCUCAGGGCUUGACACCGCUUGUCAGGCCCUGCACUGCCACGCACGCACCUCGAAUCUGUGAUCCGAUCCGUCCCGUUUGGUGGAAUCAUACUCGUUGGAGGGAUUCUAGAUUUUUAUUUUUUUAUUAUUGAUCAUUUUGUGGGCCACCUAACACAUAGGUCCCAUGUAGGGCCGGGUGAUAUGUAAGCGAUCAGCACACUGAUCGGUUCAACAGAACCCUUUUAGAACAUUGCUUUUUUUUCAGUCAGACUUGGUCUCUCGUUAGUUCACGUUAACUAAGCAUCGGGUGACUGUCAACUCUCGUCAGAGGGGCCGUUCUGAGGUGGGGCCGCUGUCCUACCGUGUAACGCUGUAGGAGUGUGCAUACAUAAUCCGCCGGUGUAGAGUGGACGACUUGGUGAAUAAUGAAAGCUGAGGCCAUCCGCUUUCUUUGUUUUUCCUUCUCGUCUUUAGUGAGAUAGCGGAGUCCUUUUGGCUGUGCCGCAAUGGUGGGUUCGGGGGGUCCAGAUGGCGCAUUUAGCCGGGCUUUCGCUACACGCUGGCAUUAGAGGGGAGUUGGAGAGGGAGGGAGGGAGGGAGGGAGGGAGGGGGCGGUGGAAGAGGCCUGGAGAGGCCUGUGUGGGGCUUUGCUGCAUGUAUCCCCAUGCACAUGACAACACCAAAGCACACUGGUUUUUUUGGGGUUCUCCGCACUGCCUGAUGAAAUGCAAGGAGAUUAAAGCCGAGCUGUGCGGGCCCGCCGAAGAAAAGGAUCCCUUUUUAGUCAUCGAAAAGCCCCUCAUAUAUGUCUGCCGCGUUUGGGUGAUGUGUUGCUAGGAUUGGCUUCUUCAUUAUCAUAUUUUCACAUUGCCAAAGGCAAUACUUUGAUUGCUGUGGUUUUCAUAAUUUUAAAGUGGAUUCCAUGCAAAAAUGUAAGAGUUGAAAAUACUCUUCAACCUUCUAGAAACCCGGGUCCCAACUAUUCGUUCAAUGAGAAUUGGCAGAAUGGUUCGAAAGUGAGUGUGAAUAAUCUGUUUUCCACUGGAACAGGUCGUAACAAGGCUAAUUCAUUCCAGAGAACCAAAGCACUUGUUGAUAUCACCACACCGACACCAGCCAAUCCGCUGAUCCAUGCCGCUCUGACACCUCUGCCACGCACAGCAGUUACAGUUACUAUGGUGAUUUGAGGACAUUUCUACACAUUCUCUAUUUCUCUUUUUUUUAAAUUCGCCGCGACACCUGGCAUUUUUCUCUUUUUAGCCCAACCGAUUCACCUAACAAUAAUUCUAUGUGCAGUAAAAGUAUUUUAAGCUCAAACAUCACUUUCACUUGUAUGUAUUAAAUGUUGGACUCCUCACUGGUAGCGUCGUUCCUCUUUUGCGUCCAAGAUCUAAGAAUUAUGACGCCAGGUCAGAUUGAAGAAGUAGCCCUUUGUAUACCUUCACCACAACAGUUGUGUGAUUUAAAUUGUGCAUGGCUUUAAAUGCUAUGAAACCAAAGAUCAGACCUGUAUACAAUAUACAAUUGCGCUCAACCAUCGGCUUUAUACUGAAAGCACCGUAACUUCCCCAAACAAAGUACUGCGUGUUUGACCCCAAAAUGUGUCAACACUCUGGCGUAAUUUGCUUCAGAGAUAUCUGCAAGUCUGCCCUGCAUGUUCCCAUGAUUCUGCAUGUAACAGCCUUUUCUUGGGUAUGUAUUGGAAUGUAUCCCACGCUUGGAUCGCUGACAUCUCGAUCCUCUGUUGACGACAAUCUGACAGCAAUUAUGGGCCAUGAGACUGCCUCUACACGCAGCCCCGUGCUCCACAAAGAGACUCACACAGACAGGGUAGACCUUGGCUUUUACCUGCUCUGGGUCUAAUGCCCUUCAAUCGUUUAGUUCUGAUCCCCCACCACUUACUCCCCUCGCUACAAAUUGUCCUCUUUCCCUGAGGGCCGCUACUUUCCAAAGUCCUAGGGCUCAGCUCAGGCUCCCUUCAUCAGACACUUCAUCAAACAGUAAUGGCUCCCUCUAGACGUCCGUCCUCGCCAUCCCAAGCAUUUCCGGGCGACAGAGCCUCUCUCUGGAGUCCUGCACCGUCAGGGAAUCACAGAGGCGCUCGGCAUUUGAGUCUACACUCUGUGGCUAUGGACGGCCUCUACUCCGGUGCUCUGUGUUUCAUAUUCGGCCUCUGAUGCGUGCAGUCCGACCUUCUCGUGUGAAUUUGUAGUUGCGGUUGCUGCCGCUGCUGCCACACUCGGGUUCACUCCCACACAAAAUGCUUACAUAAAAACAAAAAGAUACGGCACUUUGCUUGGACUUUGUUUUGUGAUAGAUAGAAUGCAUGCUCAUGGAUCACAGCAGUCGAUGUCUUCAAAGUCCCUGUGAAAUGUGUGUGUACCGUUUUCUAAAACAGGAUAUUGGGACAGAGCCCCAUGGCUCUGUCCCAAGGGGAUUGACUAAUUUCAUGUCAAUUCAAAUGAGUUGUGCACACAACCAGUCCUGUUCAUUCAAUACAUGCUCAUGAUGUAACAGGAUAAAUGCAUUCUGUAUGCAGACAAGUCAUUUGAAAGUGCAAUCAAUGGGUAUAUAAAUUGCAGCUCAAUACCACUAUAGGCACCCACAGUAUUGGCUAUUAAUUGCUUAGAAAAUAGAUAAUUAUCUAAUCUUCACAUUUCUUUCUCCUUCCCUCGCAACACAGUUUCAACAGGAAACGAAAAUACCACAUUGUGUUCGUAUGACACCAUUCAACAAGGAACUGUAUCUUUGUUGUCAUGCCAACGCUUUGAACGUUAUUCUCUGGUACUGUAAAUCAAUCUACAGGUCGUUGGCGUGAAACUGUCUUUGCAAAAGGUGUGGCGAUGGGUUGGGAUGAUGAUUCGGUAGCAGAUAUUAUAGCACCUCGACUCGCCCCCUUCUGCUGCGUUAGUCUGUUUAUGGCUUGAAAUAAACGAUGAACGACCACUAAAUGCAGUCUAGGCUUUACAUUGGGCUGCCUUUCCUUCUAAAGGAGUCAGGGGCUCAUUUGAGUACGGACUGGCAGGUGGAGCCCUGCCUCUGAUAACGCACUGUGAUUACAUCACUUGGCACUCAUCAGUAGAGAUCAACUUCGUCCAGUACACUGGGUGGUGCUGCUGACCUCGCUGUUGUUUUGUCAGUGCUGGGUUACUCUCUUCCCCCCCCCCCCCCCCCCCCCUCCAUUAAUGAUAGAGAAGUUGAGGUUGUUUGCCGUCUAUGUUUAUUUGUACAGGGCAUCAUCUUCACAUUAUAAGGAUCGGUGACGUGUGACUUUAAGCAGACCACAUUUAGCACCCCAUCUGUUCGACACAGAUGAAUCAUUGAACCUUUCAUAACACCUUUUCUUUUUUAAACACAGCAAAUGUACGCUGAACCUAAUUUAGUUUAUAUUAUGAGGUAGUAACUU